ACCGGCAGCUAGCUGUCUGCAACCUCACAUGGUCGCCCACUGAAGCUAACCAGGGCUGUGCUGGGUCAGCACCUGGAUGGGUGACCACAUGGGAAAGCUAGGUUGCUGCCGGAA
ensembl:rRNA 5S_rRNA 5S ribosomal RNA